GAUCGAGAGAGGCGUAAGGUUUUUCGAGUAGAGGAGGAGAGAAUAAUUCUUGAGGUGAAGAAUCUAUCCAAGGCGUUACCGGUCUUGAUUUUAAUCCGAAUUCAGUUGCGAUGUUCGAGCUUGAUCUUGAAUUUGAUUGAAGAUAUCUUGAGUAAGAUCCAAAUUCUUUCCACUAUAAAGAUAAGAAUUUGAAUUUAAGGUUUCUUGAUUUUCUUGAUUGCUCCACAAGGUAAUUGGUGAAUGUUGUAGAUUGCUCCAUAAACUUGAUGUGUUUGUGAGUAUUUGUGAAUCAUCCCAUCCCAAACUCUCCAUUAUUAAAUCUUUAGGCCUAAAUCAAGAAUCUAAUCAAUAUACAAGAACCAAGAAUCAAGAAAAUCAAGAAACUAAUUUAUAGAAGAAUCAAGAAUCAAGAAAAUAACAAAUAUAGAAGAAUCAAGAAUCAAGAAAAGCUCAUGAAAAAUAUAUAUGGCCUAGAGAAUAAAGAAUUUUGUUAUAUAUAAAUGUGUGCCAAAUCUCAAGAUAAACGAAAUAAUAACAAAUGGGUGUUUAUAUAUAUAUAUUUAUGGCUCAACAAACUUUGAGUAAUAUAUAUAUUUAAGUACACAGCAAUUAAUUUCAGAUCCAGCCAAUUUAGAAUGCCAGAGAAGCCAAUAGACUGAAAUUACUUCCUGCAAAUUCCUCUUUUUUUUUUAAUAUAACUGCAAAUAAUAGAGCCAAUAUACUGAAAUUACUUGCUGCAAAUUCCUUUAUUUUUUGUUAAUAAAACUGCAAAUAAUGGAGCCAAAGCCUGGAACAAACCUCAGCUUUAUGUUCUAUCUUUCUGUACAAUCUGGUACUGGCUCUAACCACCUCUCUUUAAUUUCUCUGAAUUAUGCAAACUGUGAUCACCAACAAAACAGCCAUUUCUAACGUCAGAUUUAGCAACUAAAAUCUGUCAUCACCCUAAUACAGACAAAAAAACCUCCAAGAAAAUUCAAAAACUUUAACUAAUAUACAGAUUCAAGAACAUAUAUAAAUAUAAUAUCAAGAAAUCAUAUGUAGAUGAAGAAAAAACUCUGCUCUACCUUGAAAUGGAAAUAAUUUAAGCUGGCUGAGAUAUAUGGAUGACAAAAUAUUGAAACAGUGUAAUAUGGUUGUUAAUGGGGUAUGUGUUUAUAUAGAUAGAAAGAACAUAAAGUUAAAUAUUAAAAUAUUUCUUAAAAAUAGAGUUAAUACAGUACUUUGAACAUGUUAAAUAUGAGAAAAUAAUAGGACCCAAAUUAAUUAAUUAAUAGUACUUUAUAAUAUAGUUGAAUGGAGGGGUGUUGAAAAGAUAAGGCUUUUUGGUCAGUUUGGUGGGGAUUUAAAGAGUGUAUUUUUUGCAGAUGGGAAGCAUGAGAUUUCAAACUAUACUAUAUAAUUAUUUAUUUAUAUAUGAUAAGCUGAGUAUUAAUUAACUGAUAUUUAUUAUUUUAAUUUAAUUUUAUUGUUGUUUUAAAAGCUCUGACUGAUCCAUGCGCACUGUGAAGUUUCAGUAAAAAUGGAGCAGUACAACUACUGAUUGUCUAACACUAAUUGUAUAGUGAGACAGAGUUGAGAGAAUUAAUGAGCAUCUUUUUGACAGUGCCACUUUCUUCAAGCUUUUUAAGUUAAUCAUAGAUUUAAUCAUCACCAAAUAAAACAUUUUAAUUACUGUUUUCACUUUCUACUACAAUUACUUUUCACUUUCUGUAAUUAUUAUAUGCAUGUAUAAAUAACUAGUGGUGCUUCAUAAUUAGGCCAUAA